rnacentral:rRNA from 1 species
AUGGCGUACUCCUCCUAUUUGAAACCAAACAAACUUCUCCUCAGGAGGAUAGAUGGGGCGAUUCAGGUGAGAUCCCAUGUAGAUCUAACUUUCUAUUGGCUCGUGGGAUUUGGGCGGUCCGGGGGGGGGGGAGUGGGGGGCACCACGGCUCCUCUCUUCUCGAGAAUCCAUACAUCCCUUAUCAGUGUAGGGAGAGCUAUCUCUCGAGCACAGGUUGAGGUUCGUCCUCAAUGGGAAAAUGGAGCACCCAACAACGCAUCUUCACAGACCAAGAACUACGAGAUCACCCCUUUCAUUCUGGGGUGA